rnacentral:misc_RNA from 1 species
AAGUCGUAACAAGGUCUCCGUAGGUGAACCUGCGGAGGGAUCAUUAACACAGUAUAUACAAUAAACUGUAUAUCAACCAACGGUAAAUGUUAUCCCCGAGCUAGCAUGUCCUGAUGAGGGACGGGUGUGAAGUCAGUCUGUGGUGUGAGUUAAUUGAUCGCAGUUGGAUCGAGGUCUCGGCCUCUUCUUCUGUGUUUCUCUUAUCUCUGCUGACUUUACUAGUAUACUUUCGAGUGUACAACCAGUGUUAGCAAGGGUCGUCCGUGGAUCAGGGUUUUCAGAUACCAUGCGAAGUCUGAUCCGCACUUUAUUUAACCUUUUGCUAUUAUGCCUGAUUGGAGGGGGUUUUUACAACUCGCUCAAAACUAAAUAUCUAAAACAACUCUUAGCAAUGGAUAUCUAGGCUUCCGGAAGGAUGAAGAACGCAGC